rnacentral:rRNA from 1 species
UACGGGGGGAGCAAGCGUUGUUCGGAUUUACUGGGCGUAAAGAGCGCGCAGGCGGUCGUUCAAGUCGAGUGUGAAAGCCCCCGGCUCAACUGGGGAGGGUCAUUCGAUACUGAUCGACUCGAAGGCAGGAGAGGGAAGUGGAAUUCCCGGUGUAGUGGUGAAAUGCGUAGAUAUCGGGAAGGAACACCAGUGGCGAAGGCGACUUCCUGGCCUGUUCUUGACGCUGAGGCGCGAAAGCUAGGGGAGCAAACGGG